UACGUAGGGGGCAAGCGUUGUCCGGAUUUAUUGGGCGUAAAGAGCGUGUAGGCGGCCUGACAGGUCUGCUGUGAAAACUCGAGACUCAACCUCGAGAUGUCGGCGGAAACCGUCUGGCUAGAGUCCGGAAGAGGAGAGUGGAAUUCCUGGUGUAGCGGUGAAAUGCGCAGAUAUCAGGAAGAACACCCGUGGCGAAGGCGGCUCUCUGGGACGGUACUGACGCUGAGACGCGAAAGCGUGGGGAGCAAACAGG
rnacentral:rRNA from 1 species